UCGCACUACUUUUAUUUAUUUUCCGCACUCGCACUACUUUUAUUUAUUUUCCGCACUCGCACUACUUUGCCUUUAUCUAUUUUAUUUUCCCGCACUGUCUUUACUUUAUUUAUUUCCCGCACUGUCUUUACUUUAUUUAUUUCUCGCACUGUCUUUACUUUAUUUAUUUCCCGCACUGUCUUUACUUUAUUUAUUUACCGCACUCGCUUU
rnacentral:lncRNA from 1 species